rnacentral:rRNA from 1 species
GAUGAACGCUAGCUACAGGCUUAACACAUGCAAGUCGAGGGGUAACGAGAGGAAAGCUUGCUUUCCUUGUCGACGACCGGCGCACGGGUGAGUAACGCGUAUCCAACCUGCCCCCAACUAGGGAAUAACCUUGCGAAAGUAAGACUAAUACCCUAUAAUUUCCUCAGAUGUCAUCUGACGAGGAAUAAAGAUUUAUCGGUUGUGGAUGGGGAUGCGUCUGAUUAGCUUGUUGGCGGGGUAACGGCCCACCAAGGCAACGAUCAGUAGGGGUUCUAGGAGGAAGGUCCCCCACAUUGGAACUGAGACACGGUCCAAACUCCUACGGGAGGCAGCAGUGAGGAAUAUUGGUCAAUGGGCGGAAGCCUGAACCAGCCAAGUAGCGUGCAGGAUGACGGCCCUAUGGGUUGUAAACUGCUUUUAUACAGGAAUAAAGUUAGCCACGUGUGGUUAUUUGUAGGUACUGUAUGAAUAAGGACCGGUUAAUUCCGUGCCAGCCGCCGCCGUAA